AAUUAUUUUUCGUAGAGAGAGAAGCGUUCGAGAAUUCUGUAGUGUAAUUUAGUUAUUUGAGAAAGUUAACACGGUUGUUCUAUGAGUAUUGAGCAGUUCAACCGGUUAAUUGAUAUUUCGACAUUCAGGCUGUCAUCUGAGUAGAGUAUACCGAGUUGAGUUGAGCUGUAAUUUGAAUCUUGGAUGUCAAAAAGUGUUCGAACGACUUGUUGGGACACAAUA